CACGUAGGGUGCGAGCGUUGUCCGGAAUUAUUGGGCGUAAAGAGCUCGUAGGCGGUGUGUCGCGUCGGCCGUGAAAACCUGCAGCUUAACUGUGGGCUUGCGGUCGAUACGGGCAUCACUGGAGUUCGGCAGGGGAGGACUGGAAUUCCUGGUGUAGCGGUGAAAUGCGCAGAUAUCAGGAGGAACACCGGUGGCGAAGGCGGGUCUCUGGGCCGAUACUGACGCUGAGGAGCGAAAGCGUGGGGAGCGAACAGG
rnacentral:rRNA from 1 species